CCUCAGUUCGGAUUGAAGGCUGAAAUUCGCCUUCAUGAAGUCGGAAUUGCUAGUAAUGGCAGGUCAGCAUACUGCCGUGAAUACGUUCCCGGGCCUUGUACACACCGCCCGUCACACCAUGAGAGUUGGAGAUACCCGAAGCCUAUGAGCUAACUUUUAGAGGCAGUAGUCGAAGGUAGAAUCAAUGAUUGGGGUGAAGUCGUAACAAGGUAGC
rnacentral:rRNA from 1 species